rnacentral:rRNA from 1 species
AGACGACGCUGGCGGCGUGCCUAACACAUGCAAGUCGAACGCGAAAGGGGGCUUGCCCCCAAGUAAAGUGGCGCACGGGUGAGUAACGCGUGGGUAACCAACCCCUAGGUGGGGGAUAACGGCCCGAAAGGGACGCUAAUCCCGCAUAAGACCACGAUAGCGCAGGCUAUUGGGGCCAAAGGAGUGAUUCGCCUAGGGACGGGCCCGCGUCCCAUCAGCUAGUUGGUAGGGUAACGGCCUACCAAGGCAGUGACGGGUAGCUGGUCUGAGAGGAUGAUCAGCCACACUGGGACUGGAACACGGCCCAGACUCCUACGGGAGGCAGCAGUGAGGAAUUUUGGACAAUGGGCGAAAGCCUGAUCCAGCAACGCCGCGUGAGUGAUGAAGGCCCUCGGGUUGUAAAGCUCUUUCAGGGGGGAUGAGAAAGGACGGUACCCCCACAAGAAGCACCGGCUAACUCCGUG